CAGCAGCCACGGUAAUACGAGGGGGGCAAGCGUUGUUCGGAAUUAUUGGGCGUAAAGGGCGCGUAGGCGGUUUGGCAAGUUUGGUGUGAAAUCUUCGGGCUCAACUCGAAGUCUGCAUCGAAAACUGCCGGGCUUGAGUAUGGGAGAGGUGAGUGGAAUUUCCGGUGUAGCGGUGAAAUGCGUAGAUAUCGGAAGGAACACCUGUGGCGAAAGCGGCUCACUGGACCAUAACUGACGCUGAGGCGCGAAAGCUAGGGGAGCAAACAGGAUUAGAUACCCCUGUAGUCCCUGUCUCUUAUAC
rnacentral:rRNA from 1 species